GACCCUUCUCUAAGGAAUAGCCUCGGGAAACUGAGAGUAAUACCUUAUACGCCCUUCGGGGGAAAGAUUUAUCGGAGAAGGAUCAGCCCGCGUUAGAUUAGAUAGUUGGUGGGGUAAUGGCCUACCAAGUCUACGAUCUAUAGCUGGUUUUAGAGGAUGAUCAGCAACACUGGGACUGAGACACGGCCCAGACUCCUACGGGAGGCAGCAGUGGGGAAUCUUGGACAAUGGGCGCAAGCCUGAUCCAGCCAUGCCGCGUGAGUGAUGAAGGCCUUAGGGUCGUAAAGCUCUUUCGCCUGUGAUGAUAAUGACAGUAGCAGGUAAAGAAACCCCGGCUAACUCCGUGCCAGCAGCCGCGGUAAUACGGAGGGGGUUAGCGUUGUUCGGAAUUACUGGGCGUAAAGCGCGCGUAGGCUGACUAGUCAGUCAGAGGUGAAAUCCCAGGGCUCAACCCUGGAACUGCCUUUGAUACUGCUAGUCUUGAGUUCGAGAGAGGUAAGUGGAAUUCCGAGUGUAGAGGUGAAAUUCGUAGAUAUUCGGAGGAACACCAGUGGCGAAGGCGACUUACUGGCUCGAUACUGACGCUGANGUGCGAAAGUGUGGGGAGCAAACAGGAUUAGAUACCCUGGUAGUCCACACCGUAAACGAUGAAUGCCAGUCGUCGGCAAGCAUGCUUGUCGGUGACACACCUAACGGGAUUAAGCAUUUCCGCCUGGGGGAGUAC
rnacentral:rRNA from 1 species